rnacentral:sRNA from 1 species
UCAACAUAUCGUAACCCGUUGUACAUUGA